AACGAACGCUGGCGGCGCGCCUAAUACAUGCAAGUCGAGCGAGAAGACGUAGCAAUACGUUUGUAAAGCGGCGAACGGGUGAGGAAUACAUGGGUAACCUACCCUCGAGUGGGGAAGUAACUAGCCGAAAGGUUAGCUAAUACCGCGUACGCUCCUUGGACUUCGGUUCAGGGAGGAAAGCGAUACCGUGGGUAUCGCGCUCUUGGAUGGGCUCAUGUCCUAUCAGCUUGUUGGGAGGUAACGGCUCACCAAGGCUUCGACGGGUAGCUGGUCUGAGAGGACGAUCAGCCACACUGGCACUGCGACACGGGCCAGACGUCCUACGGGAGGCAGCAGUAAGGAAUAUUGCGCAAUGGGCGAAAGCCUGACGCAGCGACGCCGCGUGGGGGAU
rnacentral:rRNA from 1 species